rnacentral:rRNA from 1 species
AUUGAACGCUGGCGGCAGGCCUAACACAUGCAAGUCGAGCGAGCGGCGGACGGGUGAGUAAUGUCUGGGAACCUGCCUGAUGGAGGGGGAUAACUACUGGAGACGGUAACUAAUACCGCAUCCCAUCAGAUGUGCCCAGAUGGGAUUAGCUGGUAGGUGGGGUAAUGGCUCACCUAGGCGACGAUCCCUAGCUGGUCUGAGAGGAUGAUCAGCCACACUGGAACUGAGACACGGUCCAGACUCCUACGGGAGGCAGCAGUGGGGAAUAUUGGACAAUGGGCGAAAGCCUGAUGCAGCCAUGCCGCGUGUGUGAAGAAGGCCUUCGGGUUGUAAAGCACUUUAAGCGGGGAGGCGUUACCAGCAGAAGAAGCACCGGCUAACUCCGUGCCAGCAGCCGCGGUAAUUC